rnacentral:rRNA from 1 species
CCUACGGGAGGCUGCAGUGGGGAAUAUUGCACAAUGGGCGAAAGCCUGAUGCAGCAACGCCGCGUGAGCGAUGAAGGCCUUCGGGUCGUAAAGCUCUGUCAUCAAGGAAGAAAAUGACGGUACUUGAGAAGGAAGCCCCGGAUAACUACGUGCCAGCAGCCGCGGUAAUACGUAGGGGGCUAGCGUUAUCCGGAAUUACUGGGCGUAAAGGGGGCGUAGGUGGUUUCUUAAGUCAGAGGUGAAAGGCUACGGCUCAACCGUAGUAAGCCUUUGAAACUGGGGAACUUGAGUGCAGGAGAGGAGAGUGGAAUUCCUGGUGUAGCGGUGAAAUGCGUAGAGAUUAGGAGGAACACCAGUGGCGAAGGCGGCUCUCUGGACUGUAACUGACGCUGAGGCACGAAAGCGUGGGGAGCAAACAGGAUUAGAUACCCCAGUAGUC